rnacentral:rRNA from 1 species
GAUGAACGCUGGCGGCGUGCCUAAUACAUGCAAGUCGAACGGAGAACCUUUGUAGCAAUACGAAGGUUUCUUAGUGGCGAACGGGUGAGUAACGCGUUGGUGACCUGCCCCAAAGUGUGGGAUAACAGUCCGAAAGGAUUGCUAAUACCGCAUGUGGCCAUCGGGUUUAGAAACCGAUGUCUAAAGCCGCAAGGCGCUUUGGGAGGGACCUGCAUCGCAUCAGCUCGUUGGCGAGGUAACGGCGCACCAAGGCUACGACGGGUAGGGGGCCUGAGAGGGUGGCCCCCCACAAUGGAAUUGAAACACGGUCCAUACACCUACGGGUGGCAGCAGUAGGGAAUAUUGCACAAUGGGCGAAAGCCUGAUGCAGCAACGCCGCGUGAGCGAUGAAGGCCUUCGGGUCGUAAAGCUCUUUUCUGGGAGAUGAGAAAGGACAGUACCCCAGGAAUAAGUCUCGGCUAACUACGUGCCAGCCGCCGCCGUAAAAC